rfam:Rattus norvegicus chromosome 17, whole genome shotgun sequence.
UAAAAGGCUCUUUUUAGAGCCACUAAUCUUCCAAAGAAAGAGCUG